CACGUCCAUCUCAGCUCAGCCGGGGAAAAGGAGACUCUCACAACAAGUAAAGGAGACUCUCACAACAAGUAAUGUUAUCACUCCACACUGAGGAAGUUAUGGAAAACACUAUUACUGAAUGAGGAAAUCAACAACUGUGGUGUUUCAGGGGUGUGUGUGUGUGUGCGCAUGUGUGUGUGUAUGUGUGUGUGUGUGUGUGUGUGUGUGUGUGUGUGUGUGUGUGUGUGUGUGUGUGUGUGUAAAGCCAUGCAGCAAGUCAACUAAACACUCACCUAAUAUUCGUAUUGCUGUGUGCUCCAGUCCUUUCUCUAUCAGGUGAACCAACACAUGUAGUCUACACACACUCUAGACUGGUGCCGUAGUGAGGUCACCCUCCCUCCCUUCUGGGUCUCUUACCUCAAAGAAUCGAAACGUUGUAUUAUCUCAAAUUACCUUGUGCCAGUUGUCGGAGCUCAGAGCUCAGAGCUCUCAAAUAAACACAAGACGAUAUAGCGAGUAUAAGAAAAGCAAUAAACUAGUCUAACAGGAUAUAAUGUUGUAUUUCUCGUCCCUUCAUGAAUAGGC
ensembl:lncRNA